rnacentral:rRNA from 1 species
UACAGAGGUCCCAAGCGUUGUUCGGAUUCACUGGGCGUAAAGGGUGCGUAGGUGGCGGUGUAAGUCUGAUGUGAAAGCUUCGAGCUUAACUCGAAAAUGGCAUUGGAUACUAUAUUGCUGGAGGUUUGGAGGGGGGACUGGAAUUCUCGGUGUAGCAGUGAAAUGCGUAGAUAUCGAGAGGAACACCGGUGGCGAAGGCGGCCUUCUGGACGGUGACUGACGCUGAGGCGCGAAAGCGUGGGGAGCAAACGGG